GCGCCUGUACUCCAGCUGGCAAGAGAGAUGCGGCUUAGAACCGCAGUGUCGUGGGUUCGAGUCCCACCGGGCGCA
rnacentral:tRNA from 1 species